CAGUUCGGAUCGCAGGCUGCAACCCGCCUGCGUGAAGUUGGAAUUGCUAGUAAUCGCGGAUCAGCAUGCCGCGGUGAAUACGUUCCCGGGCCUUGUACACACCGCCCGUCACACCAUGGGAGCCGGUAAUACCCGAAGUCAGUAGCCUAACCGCAAGGAGGGCGCUGCCGAAGGUAGGAUUGGCGACUGGGGUGAAGUCGUAACAAGGUAUC
rnacentral:rRNA from 1 species